CACCCACCUUAUUCUGCUAACACCCGACCUAUUUCGUAACUACAAACUAACCAUGCAAAGGAACCGAAUGAACUGCGCGGGCAAAGAAAAAAUCCCACCACACCUUAUCCUAUCCUCACCCACCCCACUCCUCCCUCUCUCCCCAUGCUCCACCACCGUCCCAACCGCGCCACCGAGCCAACUCCCCCGCGCCGCCGCACCACCUACCACCAACCCCACUGGCCAUGGCGCCACCUUCCCUAGGCCAGUGGGCCACGCAACCGCGCCACCCCACCACCUCGCGCGACACUGCAUCACCUACCUCCUACCCACCUUCUCCGCGACGACACCCCCAUCUGCCCGCGCCUCCCCACACCUCGCGCUCUGCCACGACCCACAUCCAUGGUGCCGCACCUUCCUUUCCCCUCCCCGGCGACCUACCUCCGUCCGCGCCGACCUCUGCAUCGGAUCCGGUGAGAUCCGGUGCUUCAUGCCCCCACCGCCACCGCCUAAGGUCGCUCCGGCGCCGGAUCUGGCGCGACCAACCUCCACGCCGCCUAUUCCAUCUCGCCCCGCCUCCACCUUCUCUACCUCUCUCUUUCUCCUGCCCUGAGCCCCCUACUCCCGGCGAACAUCCACUUCCCGUCGGCAUCACUAGCAGAUAUGGGGAGGUCUCAUGGCCGACGCCCCAUCCCUGGCAUGCACUACUUGUUGUGAGGCAGGCAGGCAGCAAUCCACCGGUGAAGUGGCGCGCGGUCCACUUUGUGUCGGACCUCCUCGGGUAGGCAAAUGGACUGCAUGGCGCAUGGCCAGCGAUGGUGCUCAGGUGACCACAGCAGCACCGAAGAUGCCGCCAUGGGCAUCUCAAUCUUGUCUUCCACCGCCGCUAUGGAUCCUGAUGUCGUUGUGCGUCAGAUCUCCUCCAUGGCAUUCAGUUGAGAUAGGGCGUCGUCGGCGUGCAGUUGGCCUGGUUCCCCUCGCUGUGGUGCGGUGCGUCACCGUCGUUCUAUUGCACUUUGGGACCUUCUUUUUCUUCAGAUUUUGCUUGUCUGCAGUCCGCCUAUGAUCUGUGCGGUGCCGUGGAUGUGCCAGCGGCCGCUCUAUGUGUGGUUGGCCACGCUGUCCUUUGCAGAUCGCUAGAGGAAGAGAGGAGGUCCUCUACAUGGUGUGUUGCAGUUCCUGGUGCCACUCCAGUGCAGCUCGGUUUGUGCACAAAAGUGGAGUUCUUUUUUGUUGUUGUAGUAGUUCCUCGUCAUUGUAAUUUGUGUGUGUUAGUACUAUGGAUUAAAAAGAGGAUCACUGUAGUUCGUUCGCCCUGUCUCGUAGUCCAGAGAUGUACAGAUCGCAGCUCUCUCGAAAACAUUCAUUGAAGAAAACAACAAAAAAAUAUGUUUAGGUGCAGCUCACUUGUUUCAUUACCGCAGUGAUCUUCUCUCUCCCAGUGGUUCACUAUGUUGCCAAGUGCAAAACCAAAUUGGAAAAGUUGAUUUUUUUAAUGCA